rnacentral:rRNA from 1 species
CCUACGGGAGGCAGCAGUGGGGAAUAUUGCACAAUGGGGGAAACCCUGAUGCAGCGACGCCGCGUGAGUGAAGAAGUAUCUCGGUAUGUAAAGCUCUAUCAGCAGGGAAGAAAAUGCGGGUACGUAACUAAGAAGCUCCGGCGAACUACGUGCCAGCAGCCGCGGUAAUACGUAGGGGGCAAGGGUUAUCCGGAUUUACUGGGGGAAAAGGGAGCGGAGACGGCGCUGCAAGUACGAAGUGAAAGCCCACGGCUUAACCAUGGUACUGCGCUGGAAACUGUGGAGCUUGAGUGCGGGAGGGGCAGGUGGAAUUCCUAGUGUAGCGGUGAAAUGCGUAGAUAUUAGGAGGAACACCAGCGGCGAAGGCGGCUUGCUGGACCGUAACUGACGUUGAGGCUCGAAAGCGUGGGGAGCAAACAGGAUUAGAUACCCGUGUAGUC